GGUCACUGCUAUCGGUGUUCGUCUAAGCCAUGCGAGUCAUAUGUUCUUCGGAACAUGGCGUACUGCUCAGUAACACGUGGAUAACCUGCCCUUGGGUCUGGCAUAACUCCGGGAAACUGGGGAUAAUACCGGAUAACGCAUAUCUGCUGGAAUUCUUUAUGCGUGAAAUGGAUUCGUCUGCCCAAGGAUGGGUCUGCGGCCUAUCAGGUAGUAGUGGGUGUAAUGUACCUACUAGCCGACGACGGGUACGGGUUGUGAGAGCAAGAGCCCGGAGAUGGAUUCUGAGACAUGAAUCCAGGCCCUACGGGGCGCAGCAGGCGCGAAAACUUUACAAUGCGGGAAACCGUGAUAAGGGGACACCGAGUGCCAGCAUUAUAUGUUGGCUGUCCGGGUGUGUAAAAUACACCUGUUAGCAAGGGCCGGGCAAGACCGGUGCCAGCCGCCGCGGUAACACCGGCGGCCCGAGUGGUGAUCGUGUUUAUUGGGUCUAAAGGGUCCGUAGCCGGUUUGGUCAGUCCUCCGGGAAAUCUAACGGCUUAACCGUUAGGCUUUCGGGGGAUACUGCCAGACUUGGAACCGGGAGAGGUAAGAGGUACUACAGGGGUAGGAGUGAAAUCUUGUAAUCCCUGUGGGACCACCUGUGGCGAAGGCGUCUUACCAGAACGGGUUCGACGGUGAGGGACGAAAGCUGGGGGCACGAACCGGAUUAGAUACCCGGGUAGUCCCAGCCGUAAACGAUGCUCGCUAGGUGUCAGGCAUGGCGCGACCGUGUCUGGUGCCGCAGGGAAGCCGUGAAGCGAGCCACCUGGGAAGUACGGCCGCAAGGCUGAAACUUAA
rnacentral:rRNA from 1 species